AUGUUUUUAUUAUUGCAUUUCAUUCAUGAAUUUCAUAAUUUAUGCAUUUCAUUGACUGAAACAACACGACCUUGUGGCUUUCAGGAUUCAGUAGAAACGUAUGGAGGAAUCAUCUUUUACUUCAGGCCAAACAGCAGCAGCUGCAAUCAGCAGGACCACUGCAGCUGUAUCACUCUGGAAAGUGUGUAAUCAAGGCAAAAGGAGUGAAGAAAGUGCUGUGAGACAAUGAAAGCUCAGGAGCUGUGAAGUGCUGCUGGUUUAA
rnacentral:lncRNA from 1 species